rnacentral:lncRNA from 1 species
AGGCAAGCGGAAGUGACGGUUAUUCCUCCUGCGCGGGAGCUUUGGGGACGCACUUCUGGAUGCCUAGGCCUCUUCCGUUUGCCUCUGGGACUGGCGAUACUCGAGAUGUCUUGAGGCCUUCCAGACCUUGCUCCACCUCCACCACCAGGUCUCCAGUCCUGAGCCACAUGCUGCCAUUUUUGUCUCAGAAGCACCCCUCUUCCAGGUGGAAGAUUGAAGGUCUGAAGAGUGGGAAGUCCCAGGAACAGGCAAUUCCAGGAAGAUAUGAGGAAAAUCAAGAAAGAGAAGGAAACUGAAGCUAGUGGGAAGUGCUUCAAGUUGGAGAUGAUGCUGAGAUGGCCAAAAAGUGAGAGGUGGAAAACAUUUGGAUUUUCAAACCUGAGUGAAUGAAUGAAUAAACGGACCUGGGAAUUGAUCAACAAUGGCUGCUGCAUCGCGUAAAGAGAGACGACCAGGUGUCAGCUGGCUGUCAACUGAUCUAGGAUGGUCUUGGAGGGACAACGAGGGCAACCCCAUGUCUCUUCUUUAGCAGGCCAGCCCAGACAUGCUUUCAUGGCUGAAUAGGAGCCAGCCUGGUCAUGGGAGCAAUUUUCAAGCAAGUCUCUGCUUGAAUGUCACAUUUACUAACAUCCUGUUGGCCAAGGUGCAUCCCAUGGCUGAGCCCAGUGUCCAAGUGAAAGGGCACCAGGAAGUUCCCUGCAGCGCUGUGGGUACUGGAAGAAUGGGCGCCAUCUUCAUGACAGCAGCAUGCUAAGUUACAGAAAGUGAGCGGCGUUCUAGACAAAGCAAGCUCAUCUGUGAAUGGAUCAUGGCGGAAACCUGACCACAGUAUGUUGGGAUUUAUGUGUUUGACAUUUUCUAUAAUAGAAAGGCAGAUCAAAAAUAAGGCUCCAGUGCCUCCACUCAGGAAAGCUCAAGUAGGUUUUCUUGAGAAUUUUUAGUGGAUACCCUGUUUUGCAAUGUUCUUUUCUUUUUCUAAUGAGGCUGAACCAGAUUGUAAUGCCAUGAGGCUUCUACAUGGAGAGCUGGACGUUGGUGAGGAUUGGGUGGAGAAGGCCGGGUGGAGGCUGGGCCUGGGAGAAGAGCAGCAGAUUCCCAAACGUACUGGUAUUGGUGCAUACUCUGAGAAAGACAUCUCAGAGCACUUCUGCCGUCAGUUACGAAGUUUCAAUAUAAGAAUUCUUUCUACACAUGCCUGCCUGUCUUUUCUUGUGACGCUUUGACAGAAGAAUUGUUUUCCUUAUGUGUCACAUACUAUACGGUUAGACACUAACACAUGUUUGUUUGAGCAUAUGACAAUUUCAACCUGACAAGCUUGAGGCUUUCCUUCUCCUCUCUCUCUUUCUUUCCUUCCUUCCUUUCAUGCACUUAUUUUAGAAAUAUGUAUGAAACUUCUCUUAGAGGCAGGCUCUGUGCUAGGUACUCGCGAUAAAAGGGUAAACUGAAAAACAGAUCUAAUUGAGUCUAGAACUUGUUAUUUCAAGCUGAAAUUCAUAAUGCAUGCAAAAACUCUAUGACAGCUUAGGUCCACCAGGACACUCUUUUUAUGAUAUUUAACAACAGAAAUUCAGUGCAAAGUCUUCUAAAACUAAGAAACUACAAAACUACCGCCUGUAAAUCCAAACCUUCAAUAAUUCUUUACCUUCAGAUCUUUAUAUUCCAAGUUAUAAAUCUAAAUUUUUUCUGAAAAUAAUUUUUAUAGCCAAAUCUCUGCAAAUUGUAUAUUUGGGUCAUGUUGACCAAUUUGCAUACAGUGAGGUUGGUUACACUCAAUAACCAACACAGGUGAGGUGUGUUCUGUUCAUUUUUCUGAGAGAACAUGAAAAUGAUCAACUGUAUUGCUUCAUUAUUGCAGUUUCACUGAAUUGGUUUUACAUAUUCUACUUGUCUCGUCCACAGCAUCUUAUUUGUGGCACUUCUCUCUUUUUGGUGUGGUGCCUUGGGCAUGUUGAGCUGUCAGGUAGAGAAGAGACGGUUUAUGCCAGAAGUAACACUCCCAUCUCUAGUUAGCUUUACUCUCUUAACUCACUGCCAGACUUACUCGUGUCCUGAAGGGGUCACUCUGGACUCUGAGAAAACUGAGAGAACAAGGUUUGAAACAGCCACACCCAGUGUGCUCAGGUAAGUGGGAGGAGACUUCAUUUGUCUGGGAAAUGUAGCCAGGCUCCUGCUAACUCCAAGAGGCAUCACAUUGGAAUAAA